CAGAGGGUGCGAGCGUUGUUCGGAAUUACUGGGCGUAUAGCGCGCGCAGGCGGCCCUUUAAGUCCACUGGUCAAAAGCCGGGGCUCAACCCCGUGCUCGCCAGGGAUACUGGAGGGCUGGAGACACGUAGAGGCAAGCGGAAUUCCGGGUGUAGCGGUGGAAUGCGUAGAGAUCCGGAAGAACACCGGAGGCGAAGGCGGCUUGCUGGGCGUGAUCUGACGCUGAGGCGCGAAAGCGUGGGGAGCGAACAGGAUUAGAUACCCUGGUAGUCCACGCCGUAAACGAUGGGCACUAGACGCUGGGUGGAUCGACCCAUUCGGUGUCGCAGCUAACGCGAUAAGUGCCCCGCCUGGGGAGUACGGCCGCAAGGCUG
rnacentral:rRNA from 1 species